rnacentral:rRNA from 1 species
UACGUAGGGGGCAAGCGUUGUCCGGAAUCAUUGUGCGUAAAGAGCGUGUAGGCGGUCCGGUAAGUCGGCUGUGAAAGUCCAGGGCUCAACCCUGGGAUGCCGGUCGAUACUGCCGGACUAGAGUUCGGAAGAGGCGAGUGGAAUUCCCGGUGUAGCGGUGAAAUGCGCAGAUAUCGGGAGGAACACCUAUGGCGAAGGCAGCUCGCUGGGACGUUACUGACGCUGAGACGCGAAAGCGUGGGGAGCGAACAGG